GGCUGAGGAGGACAGAGUCGUACUUCAGCUGCAGCUCAUUGGAGCAUCAGGCAGAAACCACACACACACACACACACACACACACACACACACACACACACACACAGCAGUAACGGUCCAGAAAAGCACGAGAAGGCUUCUCCUUAAAUGGUCAAAGCUCCCAGGAGUCACAGGGAGGCUGGUGCAGGGAAAAAAGUCAGGGAGAGGAAAAGAGAGACGAAGCUGAAGAUUGUGGAGCUUUGAGGAAAAAUAUCAACAGCACAAAUACAAAGAGGGCUUUGAAGGAAAUAGUGGGCUGUUGACAGAGCAUCUUGCAUCCCUGUUGGCCAAUCAGGUCAGCCAAAACCCAGAUGCAACCCUCCUAGAUCAGGAUCCUGGUUCACCAUCUGAGCUUUGGCGUAGACGUGCUGUCAGAGUUUGCUACGAGCCAGUGUCUACCGGUCUUCCAUCUGUGGGAGCGCUUACCCUACAGAGUCCUGCUUUAAUCUGUACUGAGAGCUCUUUGCCGGGACCGUCAGCUUGUGAGGAGCCCACGCCGCACAACAGACAGGAGAAUGUAGCUGGGUUAGACCGGCCAGCAAGCAAUGACAUCUUCCUCUCAGAGUCAGAGGCUAUUAGGAACACCUUAGCUGUAAAGGAGGAAACGUGCAGGAGUCUAAAUAAAGUAGAGACUGGAUGUGCAGGAACUGAGCUACAAAACAGUAGAAGACAAAUAGAGAGUUCUGGGAAGUGCCAAAAAUCAGAACAUAGCAGCAGGACAGAGGCCUUAAAACUUCUGAACCAAGGGCAGCCUUCCAAGUCAGCGGACGUCUGGGAUAAUCAAGGAUUCAAUUCAUCAGGGGAGACCCAAGUAGAGGAGACUGGGAGUUGUCAAGAGGGAAGAGGAGAUUUAGAAUGCACUGGGAGGAGUCAAGCGGAAUCCAAAAGCAGUGGACAGAGUCAAGCAAGGACAGGGAACAGUGAGACUCAAGAGGAACGCAAAACAAGUGACUCAGAAACAUCAAAGAAUCCAAGUGUCCAAGGUGAAGAUCUAACUGACACUCCAGGGGUGAGUUACAUCCAUUAUCAAACAGUUUGUUGAACCAUAUCAUUUCAUUUGGUACGA
rnacentral:lncRNA from 1 species